GAGGGUGGAGGGGUUGCGGCGAAGAGAUCGGCUGGUGAAGGCUGUUGUCCGUGCCCGGCACACGUCGGCGUCGUCGCGGCUCUGGAAGGCAUCGGCGGCUUGGACGAGUGCGGCAAAAAUCAUCGAGGCGGCGGACAGAGUUGGCAUUGGAGCGCUAGAGCAUCGGAUUGAGCUGAAGAACAAACCUGGCACUGCUGCAUCUUGUGACAUGGUUUUCUGAAACAUACUAUUCCUCAGUUCAGUUUGGGCAAGGACCAGCCAUGGAUAUAAUAUAGAUUGGAUUUAUAAAGGGAAUAUAUUGUUUGGGCAAGAACCCUAACUGUUUACCUGAAUUUUUCAUCAUUGUUUGAGUGUAGAAUGGCCUGGAGAAGGAAAAGAGCGUGUGAACUCUUGUCACGGCAGUUCGACGCCCAGGAAGAGAUUACUACUGCAGCAACAAUACUCCAGAUUAUUGUGGAGGAGGAAGAACGCCCUCACCGUGGCUCUGUAAUUGGGAGGGAGAUAGUACCCAGGGAUAGGUACAGCGGCUAUUGGAGGCUGAUGAUGGAUUAUUUUGUCGAUCGCCCUGUCUACGGCGAGAAGUUCUUUCGUCGCCGCCAAGAACAAGUACUUCCAAAGGAAAGUCAACGCUGCAGGCCUACCGGGGUUCGCCACAGUUCAGAAGGUAACUGCUGCAUUGCGUAUGCUUGCAUAUGGAGGGCCUGCGGACCGGCUUGAUGACUAUAUUCGUAUGGGAGAGAGCACGAUCCUUGAGUGUGUCGAUGAAUUCACUAGGACAAUAGUUGAGCUCUAUGGGAAAUCAUAUCUUAGGC